GAGUUUGAUCGUGGCUCAGAUUGAACGCUGGCGGCAUGACCUUACACAUGCAAGUCGAACGGCAGCAUGAUCUAGCUUGCUAGAUUGAUGGCGAGUGGCGAACGGGUGAGUAAUACAUCGGAACGUGCCCUGUAGUGGGGGAUAACUAGUCGAAAGAUUAGCUAAUACCGCAUACGACCUGAGGGUGAAAGUGGGGGACCGCAAGGCCUCAUGCUAUAGGAGCGGCCGAUGUCUGAUUAGCUAGUUGGUGGGGUAAAGGCCCACCAAGGCGACGAUCAGUAGCUGGUCUGAGAGGACGAUCAGCCACACUGGGACUGAGACACGGCCCAGACUCCUACGGGAGGCAGCAGUGGGGAAUUUUGGACAAUGGGCGAAAGCCUGAUCCAGCAAUGCCGCGUGUGUG
rnacentral:rRNA from 1 species